rnacentral:rRNA from 1 species
GUAGGGGGCAAGCGUUGUCCGGAUUUAUUGGGCGUAAAGAGCGUGUAGGCGGCCAGGUAGGUCAGCUGUGAAAACUCGAGGCUCAACCUCGAGACGUCGGUUGAAACCAUCUGGCUAGAGUCCGGAAGAGGAGAGUGGAAUUCCCGGUGUAGCGGUGAAAUGCGCAGAUAUCGGGAAGAACACCCGUGGCGAAGGCGGCUCUCUGGGACGGUACUGACGCUGAGACGCGAAAGCGUGGGGAGCGAACAGGAUUAGAUACCCUGGUAGUCCACGCCGUAAACGAUGGGUGCUAGGUGUGGGGGGUGUYGACUCCCCCCGUGCCSAAGCUAACGCAUUAAKCARCCCGCCUGGGGAGUACGGCCGCWAGGYUA